CCUUCGGGUUGUAAAGUACUUUCAGCAGUGAGGAAGGUGGGUAUGUUAAUAGCAUACUCAUUUGACGUUAGCUGCAGAAGAAGCACCGGCUAACUCCGUGCCAGCAGCCGCGGUAAUACGGAGGGUGCGAGCGUUAAUCGGAAUUACUGGGCGUAAAGCGCAUGCAGGUGGUUUGUUAAGUCAGAUGUGAAAGCCCGGGGCUCAACCUCGGAAUUGUCAUUUGAAACUGGCAAACUAGAGUACUGUAGAGGGGGUAGAAUUUCAGGUGUAGCGGUGAAAUGCGUAGAGAUCUGAAGGAAUACCGGUGGCGAAGGCGGCCCCCUGGACAGAUACUGACACUCAGAUGCGAAAGCGUGGGGAGCAAACAGGAUUAGAUACCCUGGUAG
rnacentral:rRNA from 1 species